AAUGAAAAUAAAAUCAACAAAAAUAUCUUCUAAGGCCUGCUUGGAUAGACAAUAAAUUUAAUGGCAAUGGAAAUUCUCUGCUAUACAAUAUUAAUAAUACAGUAUUUUUCUCUGUCCAUAGACUAAUUUGUUACUAAUUUUUAUGUUAAGAAGCUCAAAAGUAUACUGUACAUGUACAAUGUACAUGUGUAACAAGUCUUGCUCGUUCAUGCUCAUCAGUUAUGAAGAGAAUAUUUCAUUUAUCAAGUACACUAUCAGCAAGUCAGUCAAACAAAUACCAGUGCUUUUUGAUAGUUUUUUCAAGCCAUUUCAAACCUGAAGCUAUUUGGACUUUAUUCUAUGAGAUUGGUAGACUAGAUAAUCUCAAACAGUGGGAUGGUAGCCACUGCUGAAAGUUCAAGUACUUAUGUAAUACAGAGGUGGGUGGGUUACCAAGAUCCCCUCACUUCAGCUGUACAUGGAGUAUCUUCCUUAUAAUUCUCUCAUUAAAAUUUAUAUAUUAGAAGUGAGGUAUUGUUAGUCGUGUAAUAUGCAAUGUCUUUAUUGUUUGUACAUGUAGGUUGCUGAGUCUUGUUUAAUGAAAUAUUUGAACAAUUACAUCUAUGAAUAGAAUACUUCAUUUAUUACAUACGCCAUCAUGCAGUCACACAAUUACCAGUUGUAUGAGAUGUCGUCUGAUAAACAAGUACAUCUACAUGUGUAUGUCCUUCAGUGGACUUACAUGUGUGUCUUUUGAUUUUUUUUUCUCAAGCCAUUUGCUAUUUUGACUAAGACCUAAGAAUCAGAGUGACAUGACUGAUGUACUUCUGCUUCUCAUUCCUGAAAAUAUUUAAAAUUUCUAUGACUGAAAAUGCAUGUAUAU